rnacentral:tRNA from 1 species
UCCCUGGUGGUUCAGUGGUUGGGACUUGGCACUUUCACUGCCAGGGCCUGGAUUCAAUCCCUGGUUGGGGAA